rnacentral:rRNA from 1 species
GAUGAACGCUGGCGGCGUGCUUAACACAUGCAAGUCGAACGAAGCACCUUAUUCUGAUUUCUUCGGAAUGAAAAAUUUGGUGACUGAGUGGCGGACGGGUGAGUAACGCGUGGGUAACCUGCCUCAUACAGGGGGAUAACAGUUAGAAAUGACUGCUAAUACCGCAUAAGACCACAGCACCGCAUGGUGCAGGGGUAAAAACUCCGGUGGUAUGAGAUGGACCCGCGUCUGAUUAGGUAGUUGGUGGGGUAACGGCCUACCAAGCCGACGAUCAGUAGCCGACCUGAGAGGGUGACCGGCCACAUUGGGACUGAGACACGGCCCAAACUCCUACGGGAGGCAGCAGUGGGGAAUAUUGCACAAUGGGGGAAACCCUGAUGCAGCGACGCCGCGUGAGCGAUGAAGUACUUCGGUAUGUAAAGCUCUAUCGGCAGGGAAGAAAAUGACGGUACCUGACUAAGAAGCACCGGCUAAAUACGUGCCAGCAGCCGCCGUAA